GACGAACGCUGGCGGCGUGCCUAAUACAUGCAAGUAGAACGCUGAAGGAGGAGCUUGCUUCUCUGGAUGAGUUGCGAACGGGUGAGUAACGCGUAGGUAACCUGCCUGGUAGCGGGGGAUAACUAUUGGAAACGAUAGCUAAUACCGCAUAAGAGUAGAUGUUGCAUGACAUUUGCUUAAAAGGUGCAAUUGCAUCACUACCAGAUGGACCUGCGUUGUAUUAGCUAGUUGGUGGGGUAACGGCUCACCAAGGCGACGAUACAUAGCCGACCUGAGAGGGGGAUCGGCCAGACUGGGACUGAGACACGGCCCAGACUCCUACGGGAGGCAGCAGUAGGGAAUCUUCGGCAAUGGGCGGAAGUCUGACCGAGCAACGCCGCGUGAGUGAAGAAGGUUUUCGGAUCGUAAAGCUCUGUUGUAAGAGAAGAACGAGUGUGAGAGUGGAAAGUUCACACUGUGACGGUAUCUUACCAGAAAGGGACGGCUAACUACGUG
rnacentral:rRNA from 1 species